UAUUUUUUUCUUUAAAUCAUUUCAAAUAUCAUUUCUACGAUCUAAUACGAAAAUACGGAUUGCGUAAAUAAACUUCAGUAAUAAAUACUUUAUUAAUCAAAGAAUUAAAUAAAUAAAUAAGUAAAGUAAAUAAAUAGAGAAGUCGACUUCGUUCGAUAUCAAUUACUUGAUUGACAAUGUAACGAAUAUAUAUCUACAAUACGUACAUAUUACACACGAACACACAUUUUUUUCCUCGUUAAUGACACAGCCUUAUUUUGCCUCGUAAGAGGAAAAAUUUCAUUUAAAAGGCGCGGUUUUAGUUAUCGCAGGGAUAGAAGAAAGAUGAGAAAGACGAUGACGAGGAAAUUUCAAAGCAGCCUCCUCAGAAUGAAAACGCAAAAGGGGGUAGAAAUAUUAUCGACCCGGUAGAUGCGUUUACAAAGUCUUCGUUCGUGCCGUAUCACACUUUAAUCAAUAUGAUUAUAAGAACCCUUUGUGUCUACCGAAACAAAAUGGAGUGAGUUAGUAGAUUGAAAGAGAGAUGAAGAGAGAAAGAGAGAGAGAGAGAGAGAGAGAGAGAGAGAGAGAGAAAGAGAUAGAGUUUCUAAUUGGAGACAAUGUAAUAAUAGAACCGACUGACAAUGAAUACGACAGAGAUAGACAGACACACAUAGAGAAAGAGAGAGAAAAGAGAGAGAGAGAGAGAGAGAGAGAGAGAGAGAGAGAGAGAGAGAGAGAGAGAGAGAGAAGAGCUGCUAUCGUCAUCCAUUUUCGAAAGAAUAUUGUUUAUAUGGAUCUUUCCACGAGUUUGCUACGUCGACGCGUCAUGUAAUCCGUGCGAAUGAAAAAGAGAGAGAUAGAGAGAGAGAGAGAGAGAGAGAGAGAGAGAGAGAGAGAGA